AGAGUUUGAUCCUGGCUCAGAAUCAACGCUGGCGGCGUGCCUAACACAUGCAAGUCGCACGAGAAAGGGUAGCAAUACCUGAGUAAAGUGGCGCACGGGUGAGUAACACGUGACUAAUCUACCCUCGAGUGGGGAAUAACUGAGAGAAAUCUUAGCUAAUACCGCAUAACACUUACGAGUCAAAGCAGCAAUGCGCUUGGGGAGGAGGUCGCGGCCGAUUAGCUAGUUGGCGGGGUAAUGGCCCACCAAGGCGAUGAUCGGUAUCCGGCCUGAGAGGGCGCACGGACACACUGGAACUGAAACACGGUCCAGACUCCUACGGGAGGCAGCAGUGGGGAAUUUUGCGCAAUGGGGGAAACCCUGACGCAGCAACGCCGCGUGGAGGAUGAAAUAUCUUGGUAUGUAAACUCCU
rnacentral:rRNA from 1 species